rnacentral:lncRNA from 1 species
GUAGGCGCGCUGCGGUUACUAGGUGCGGCAGGUAGGCGCGCUGCGGUUACUAGGUGCGGCAGGUAGGCGCUCUGCGGUUACUAGGUGCGGCAGGUAGGCGCUCUGCGGUUACUAGGUGCGGCAGGUAGGCGCUCUGCGGUUACUAGGUGCGGCAGGUAGGCGCUCUGCGGUUACUAGGUGCGGCAGGUAGGCGCUCUGCGGUUACUAGGUGCGGCAGGUAGGCGCGCUGCGGUUCCGAGGUGCGGCAGGUAGGCGCGCUGCGGUUCCGAGGUGCGGCAGGUAGGCGCGCUGCGGUUCCGAGGUGCGGCAGGUAGGCGCGCUGCGGUUCCGAGGUGCGGCAGGUAGGCGCGCUGCGGUUCCGAGGUGCGGCAGGUAGGCGCUCUGCGGUUCCGAGGUGCGGCAGGUAGGCGCUCUGCGGUUCCGAGGUGCGGCAGGUAGGCGCUCUGCGGUUCCGAGGUGCGGCAGGUAGGCGCUCUGCGGUUCCGAGGUGCGGCAGGUAGGCGCUCUGCGGUUCCGAGGUGCGGCAGGUAGGCGCUCUGCGGUUCCGAGGUGCGGCAGGUAGGCGCUCUGCGGUUCCGAGGUGCGGCAGGUAGGCGCUCUGCGGUUACUAGGUGCGGCAGGUAGGCGCGCUGCGGUUACUAGGUGCGGCAGGUAGGCGCGCUGCGGUUACUAGGUGCGGCAGGUAGGCGCGCUGCGGUUACUAGGUGCGGCAGGUAGGCGCGCUGCGGUUACUAGGUGCGGCAGGUAGGCGCGCUGCGGUUACUAGGUGCGGCAGGUAGGCGCUCUGCGGUUACUAGGUGCGGCAGGUAGGCGCUCUGCGGUUACUAGGUGCGGCAGGUAGGCGCUCUGCGGUUACUAGGUGCGGCAGGUAGGCGCUCUGCGGUUACUAGGUGCGGCAGGUAGGCGCGCUGCGGUUACUAGGUGCGGCAGGUAGGCGCGCUGCGGUUACUAGGUGCGGCAGGUAGGCGCUCUGCGGUUACUAGGUGCGGCAGGUAGGCGCGCUGCGGUUACUAGGUGCGGCAGGUAGGCGCGCUGCGGUUAC